AUUGAACGCUGGCGGCAUGCCUUACACAUGCAAGUCGAACGGUAACAGGUCUUCGGAUGCUGACGAGUGGCGAACGGGUGAGUAAUAUAUCGGAACGUGCCCAGUAGUGGGGGAUAGCCCGGCGAAAGCCGGAUUAAUACCGCAUACGACCUGACGGCGAAAGGGGGGGAUUCGCAAGAACCUCUCGCUAUUGGAGCGGCCGAUAUCAGAUUAGGUAGUUGGUGGGGUAAAGGCCUACCAAGCCUGCGAUCUGUAGUUGGUCUGAGAGGACGACCAGCCACACUGGGUCUGAGACACGGCCCAGACUCCUACGGGAGGCAGCAGUGGGGAAUUUUGGACAAUGGGCGCAAGCCUGAUCCAGCAAUGCCGCGUGCAGGAAGAAGGCCUUCGGGUUGUAAACUGCUUUUGUCAGGGAAGAAAUCCUCUGGGUUAAUACCUCGGGGGGAUGACGGUACCUGAAGAAUAAGCACCGGCUAACUACGUGCCAGCCGCCGCAGUAAGAC
rnacentral:rRNA from 1 species